UACGUAGGGGGCAAGCGUUGUCCGGAAUCAUUGGGCGUAAAGAGCGUGUAGGCGGCCCGGUAAGUCCGCUGUGAAAGUCCAGGGCUCAACCCUGGGAUGCCGGUGGAUACUGUCGGGCUCGAGUCCGGAAGAGGAGUGUGGAAUUCCUGGUGUAGCGGUGAAAUGCGCAGAUAUCAGGAGGAACACCAAUGGCGAAGGCAGCACUCUGGGACGUGACUGACGCUGAGACGCGAAAGCGUGGUGAGCAAACAGG
rnacentral:rRNA from 1 species